rnacentral:rRNA from 1 species
AGCGUACACGGUGGAUGCCCUGGCAGUCAGAGGCGAUGAAGGACGUGCUAAUCUGCGAUAAGCGUCGGUAAGGUGAUAUGAACCGUUAUAACCGGCGAUUUCCGAAUGGGGAAACCCAGUGUGUUUCGACACACUAUCAUUAACUGAAUCCAUAGGUUAAUGAGGCGAACCGGGGGAACUGAAACAUCUAAGUACCCCGAGGAAAAGAAAUCAACCGAGAUUCCCCCAGUAGCGGCGAGCGAACGGGGAGGAGCCCAGAGCCUGAAUCAGUGUGUGUGUUAGUGGAAGCGUCUGGAAAGGCGCGCGAUACAGGGUGACAGCCCCGUACACAAAAAUGCACAUGCUGUGAGCUCGAUGAGUAGGGCGGGACACGUGGUAUCCUGUCUGAAUAUGGGGGGACCAUCCUCCAAGGCUAAAUACUCCUGACUGACCGAUAGUGAACCAGUACCGUGAGGGAAAGGCGAAAAGAACCCCGGCGAGGGGAGUGAAAAAGAACCUGAAACCGUGUACGUACAAGCAGUGGGAGCCUCUUUUAUGGGGUGACUGCGUACCUUUUGUAUAAUGGGUCAGCGACUUAUAUUCUGUAGCAAGGUUAACCGAAUAGGGGAGCCGAAGGGAAACCGAGUCUUAACCGGGCGUUAAGUUGCAGGGUAUAGACCCGAAACCCGGUGAUCUAGCCAUGGGCAGGUUGAAGGUUGGGUAACACUAACUGGAGGACCGAACCGACUAAUGUUGAAAAAUUAGCGGAUGACUUGUGGCUGGGGGUGAAAGGCCAAUCAAACCGGGAGAUAGCUGGUUCUCCCCGAAAGCUAUUUAGGUAGCGCCUCGUGAAUUCAUCUCCGGGGGUAGAGCACUGUUUCGGCAAGGGGGUCAUCCCGACUUACCAACCCGAUGCAAACUGCGAAUACCGGAGAAUGUUAUCACGGGAGACACACGGCGGGUGCUAACGUCCGUCGUGAAGAGGGAAACAACCCAGACCGCCAGCUAAGGUCCCAAAGUCAUGGUUAAGUGGGAAACGAUGUGGGAAGGCCCAGACAGCCAGGAUGUUGGCUUAGAAGCAGCCAUCAUUUAAAGAAAGCGUAAUAGCUCACUGGUCGAGUCGGCCUGCGCGGAAGAUGUAACGGGGCUAAACCAUGCACCGAAGCUGCGGCAGCGACACUGUGUGUUGUUGGGUAGGGGAGCGUUCUGUAAGCCUGUGAAGGUGUGCUGUGAGGCAUGCUGGAGGUAUCAGAAGUGCGAAUGCUGACAUAAGUAACGAUAAAGCGGGUGAAAAGCCCGCUCGCCGGAAGACCAAGGGUUCCUGUCCAACGUUAAUCGGGGCAGGGUGAGUCGACCCCUAAGGCGAGGCCGAAAGGCGUAGUCGAUGGGAAACAGGUUAAUAUUCCUGUACUUGGUGUUACUGCGAAGGGGGGACGGAGAAGGCUAUGUUGGCCGGGCGACGGUUGUCCCGGUUUAAGCGUGUAGGCUGGUUUUCCAGGCAAAUCCGGAAAAUCAAGGCUGAGGCGUGAUGACGAGGCACUACGGUGCUGAAGCAACAAAUGCCCUGCUUCCAGGAAAAGCCUCUAAGCAUCAGGUAACAUCAAAUCGUACCCCAAACCGACACAGGUGGUCAGGUAGAGAAUACCAAGGCGCUUGAGAGAACUCGGGUGAAGGAACUAGGCAAAAUGGUGCCGUAACUUCGGGAGAAGGCACGCUGAUAUGUAGGUGAAGUCCCUCGCGGAUGGAGCUGAAAUCAGUCGAAGAUACCAGCUGGCUGCAACUGUUUAUUAAAAACACAGCACUGUGCAAACACGAAAGUGGACGUAUACGGUGUGACGCCUGCCCGGUGCCGGAAGGUUAAUUGAUGGGGUCAGCGCAAGCGAAGCUCUUGAUCGAAGCCCCGGUAAACGGCGGCCGUAACUAUAACGGUCCUAAGGUAGCGAAAUUCCUUGUCGGGUAAGUUCCGACCUGCACGAAUGGCGUAAUGAUGGCCAGGCUGUCUCCACCCGAGACUCAGUGAAAUUGAACUCGCUGUGAAGAUGCAGUGUACCCGCGGCAAGACGGAAAGACCCCGUGAACCUUUACUAUAGCUUGACACUGAACAUUGAGCCUUGAUGUGUAGGAUAGGUGGGAGGCUUUGAAGUGUGGACGCCAGUCUGCAUGGAGCCGACCUUGAAAUACCACCCUUUAAUGUUUGAUGUUCUAACGUGGACCCGUGAUCCGGGUUGCGGACAGUGUCUGGUGGGUAGUUUGACUGGGGCGGUCUCCUCCUAAAGAGUAACGGAGGAGCACGAAGGUUGGCUAAUCCUGGUCGGACAUCAGGAGGUUAGUGCAAUGGCAUAAGCCAGCUUGACUGCGAGCGUGACGGCGCGAGCAGGUGCGAAAGCAGGUCAUAGUGAUCCGGUGGUUCUGAAUGGAAGGGCCAUCGCUCAACGGAUAAAAGGUACUCCGGGGAUAACAGGCUGAUACCGCCCAAGAGUUCAUAUCGACGGCGGUGUUUGGCACCUCGAUGUCGGCUCAUCACAUCCUGGGGCUGAAGUAGGUCCCAAGGGUAUGGCUGUUCGCCAUUUAAAGUGGUACGCGAGCUGGGUUUAGAACGUCGUGAGACAGUUCGGUCCCUAUCUGCCGUGGGCGCUGGAGAACUGAGGGGGGCUGCUCCUAGUACGAGAGGACCGGAGUGGACGCAUCACUGGUGUUCGGGUUGUCAUGCCAAUGGCACUGCCCGGUAGCUAAAUGCGGAAGAGAUAAGUGCUGAAAGCAUCUAAGCACGAAACUUGCCCCGAGAUGAGUUCU